AGUGAACGCUGGCGGUAGGCCUAACACAUGCAAGUCGAACGGCAGCACAGUAAGAGCUUGCUCUUACGGGUGGCGAGUGGCGGACGGGUGAGGAAUACAUCGGAAUCUACUUUUUCGUGGGGGAUAACGUAGGGAAACUUACGCUAAUACCGCAUACGACCUACGGGUGAAAGCAGGGGAUCUUCGGACCUUGCGCGAUUGAAUGAGCCGAUGUCGGAUUAGCUAGUUGGCGGGGUAAAGGCCCACCAAGGCGACGAUCCGUAGCUGGUCUGAGAGGAUGAUCAGCCAAACUGGAACUGAGACACGGUCCAGACUCCUACGGGAGGCAGCAGUGGGGAAUAUUGGACAAUGGGCGCAAGCCUGAUCCAGCCAUACCGCGUGGGUGAAGAAGGCCUUCGGGUUGUAAAGCCCUUUUGUUGGGAAAGAAAAGCAGCAGGUUAAUACCCCGCUGUUCUGACGGUACCCAAAGAAUAAACACCGGCUAACUUCGU
rnacentral:rRNA from 1 species